rnacentral:rRNA from 1 species
UUGAACGCUAGCGGGAUGCUUUACACCUGCAAGUCGAACGGCAGCGCGGACUUCGGUCUGGCGGCGAGUGGCGAACGGGUGAGUAAUGUAUCGGAACGUGCCCAGUAGCGGGGGAUAACUACGCGAAAGCGUAGCUAAUACCGCCUACGCCCUACGGGGGAAAGCAGGGGAUCGUAAGACCUUGCACUAUUGGAGCGGCCGAUAUCGGAUUAGCUAGUUGGUGAGGUAACGGCUCACCAAGGCGACGAUCCGUAGCUGGUUUGAGAGGACGACCAGCCACACUGGGACUGAGACACGGCCCAGACGCCUACGGGAGGCAGCAGUGGGGAAUUUUGGACAAUGGGGGCAACCCUGAUCCAGCCAUCCCGCGUGUGAGAUGAAGGCCUUCGGGUUGUAAAGCACUUUUGGCAGGAAAGAAACGUCGCGGGCUAAUACCCCGUGGAACUGACGGUACCUGCAGAAUAAGCACCGGCUAACUACGUG